UUGCGGCUUCCUGGGUGCUUAGGUUCCGUCGACUUGAGCUUUAAACCGGCAGCGGGGCCGGGUAGUUUGGUUUGUGUCCUGACGUGUCGCGUUUGAAAGCAGCGCCUUAGAAAAAGCCGAGUCUUUCCCUUUGUCAAACCUGGUCAAAGUUAGAACUCCGGCUUUUGUGGAGGACGUGGGAGCCUUUACUUUACUUUCCACUCCCAACCUUAGACUACUUCCUAUUAAUGCUUUGCCUUCCAGCGGUCGCUAACGCUGUGUAAAGCCGAUAAGGAUGCUGCUACCCAUUUUAAAUAGUCCAUUUAACAAGGUGUAUCGGGGAGCUGAAAGGAUGACCUCACUAGGUCCUUAGGAUGAAAGGCGGUGGUGGCUGUGGAAUCGUUAUGUCGCACGAAGUAUAAUUUAAGUUUUAUUUACAUAAAAUAUUUAAUAUGUAUAAUAUAUAAAGAAGAUACGUACUAUAAAAUACAUACACUUACAAUUUAACAUUAGCAAGCCAGCAAUACAUAAUGGCCCUGAGGGCCCGUAGGCUUCAUACAGCGCCAGUCCCUGAGCUUAAAUAUGCUAACAACACCUUUGUUCCUUUUGCAACGAGGCUGUUUUGUACUUAUAAAAAUGGGAUUCAGAGGGCCCAGUAAUCCACUGAAAUAAAUUUUUUAAAAAAAUUCUCUGUCCGUAAGCCAGAAGAGUUUACGAACACCUGAGAUACCUGCAAACCAGAAAGAUCCUGAUGCUGGCUUACGUUGUCUAUCGUUGAGCCCUUGCUUCUUUGCAUUAUUCAUUAAUCACUCAGUUUUCAUACAGCCAUGCAGUUAGAAUUAUUACUAAGUGCCUACAGUUCCAGGUAGAGUUCUAGGCUUUGAGAGUACAGGACUAAUAAGGCAAAGUCCCUGCUAAACUGGAGCAAAGCCAAGUAAUGAAAAAAGGAUAAACUAUGAACUAAGGAGAGAUCCUUAGUUGAGUUAAAACCAUAAAUGUUUAUCUUCCAGGCAGCCAGAGGUUAUUCAAUAAAGCAACGAUUUAUUGAAUACUGAGCCCAGUGCAUAAACAAAACAACUAGGUAUUCUUAUUAUAGGAUGCCUUAGAGAAGGGAUGCUUGUUGUUACAGGUGUUGAUGUCCAAGGAGAGUAUUCUAAAAGAUUCGGAACUGCAAGUAUGGGUUUAUGUAAGAGUUACCCAGCAGUCUGGUCCAGCUGAACAAUGUAUGUAUAAAGCAUUAGGUGGAAAAGAGUCGGGAAAGGUAUAUCAAGGGCCUUUUGUAGAAAACCUGGCCAAGGAGUCAGGAUCUUAUAUCACAAGAAAUUACAUGUUAAACAAGAGUGGCAUCACUGAACAGACAGCCAUUUAUAAGUUACAUGUAGAGAGUAAGUGCCUGAGGUUGACCACAAAGGGACAAAAAAAAGACCGAUAGGGACAUUGCCGAGUCAAAAAUCUAUGAUUUAGCAAUUGCUUAGAUAGGGGUGUGUGCAAAAUAUGGUGGAAAGUAGAUUGUGAAAGCACAAGUGAAAUUAAUAUUAUUAUUAUGACAUCAUGGCUUGAACUUGAGUGACUGGGAGUUCCAAAACACAUGCAAUUCCACCAUAGGAGCAGAAUAGAGAUGGGGUGGGGAAUUCUCUUAUUCUGUUGUAAUUCUCCCAUUGUUCCUUUGCCUUGUCUAGAUACUUAAUCAUACCAUGUACAUUAGAGAACACUUUACCUUUUCCUUUCCAGUUUUUAAAUUUCGAAUUGUAUUCUCUUGUCCAUCACAGUAGCUAAUAUUUCUAACAAAAUCCUCAAUAAUGGAGAUAAUUGUCAUCCUUUCAUUUCUCCAGCCAGUAAGAUAGUGGCUUUGUGAUGUAAGUGGUGUGUGUGUGUGUGUGUGUGUGUAUCAUAUUGAUAUCUAGGAAAUAUCCAUUAAUUCCUUUUUUAUUGAGAAGUGUUCUUUAACAUGAAUGAGUGUUGAAUUAUUUUCACAUGUGUUUUCUGUAUCUUUGGAUGUGAUUGCAUAAUUUUUCUCCCUAACUAUGCCAUAGACUGAAUGUUUGUGACCCCACCCCCCAAAUUCAUAUGUUGAAAUCCUAACUCCCAGUGUGAUGGUAUUAAGAGAUGGGACCUCCAGUAGGUGAUCAGGUCAUGAGGGUGGAGCCCUCAUGAAUAGGAUGAGUGCCCUUCUAAGAGAGACCCCAGAGAGGUCCAUUUCCCCUUCCUUCAUGUGGGGACUCAAUGAGAAGACUGCCAGUCUAUGAACCAGGAAGCCGGCUCUCACCAGACACUGAAUCCACCGGCACCGUGAUCUUGGACUUCUGAGCCUCCAGAGCUAGAAGCUGAUGGCAGUUAUGAGAGGAACGGUUGGCGUGCUUUGUCAGCACCUGAAUAAAGAGGGGGUGGUCGACUGGGGAAGACACGCUUAGUUAUGUUUUCCAAGCGUUGGAAGAACCACAGGAUGAAGGCUUACGGUGAACUUGUAAUUCUUCUCCCAAGCCUAGAAUUAAUGUUUUUAAGAAGAAAAUCCCAUGGACUCGUUGCCAUGUUGCAGUUUGCGUCUUCAAGAGGAAGUCUCCCAGCCAGAGCCCAGCGCACAGGCGCGUUGGUAGAGAGCGUCGUGGGCAAUUCCCCAGAGGACUGA